UACGAAGGGGGCUAGCGUUGCUCGGAAUCACUGGGCGUAAAGCGCACGUAGGCGGCUUUUUAAGUCAGGGGUGAAAUCCUGGAGCUCAACUCCAGAACUGCCUUUGAUACUGGGAAGCUUGAGUCCGGAAGAGGUGAGUGGAACUCCGAGUGUAGAGGUGAAAUUCGUAGAUAUUCGGAAGAACACCAGUGGCGAAGGCGGCUCACUGGUCCGGUACUGACGCUGAGGUGCGAAAGCGUGGGGAGCAGACAGG
rnacentral:rRNA from 1 species